ACCUUUUGUCCUCAAGUGAUCAUUGUGCUCCAGGGGCACGAAAGUAAUUUCAAGCGCCAUCCCUGGGUCUGCAACGCCGUUGCCGAUCGGGGUAGCGCCAAUUGGGUGCUGGUGUUCUCGUAUUGGCGGCUGAAAGGGUGUGUGGUUCUUGCAUCUUGAACGUUUCCGGUCAGUUGUGGUUUAUGGUGUAGUUCUGGGCUGCAACAGCAGCUCUGCUCUCUACUCAUCCAGUCUAAGGGACUGGCACUUCUUCCCAGCAUUUUGUAGCUUUUGAGUCUUGCAGCAGCUUCUCGUAUUUGCGCUGUCUCUUUGUGUUAUGACGCUGCCGUGUCAUAAGAGGCCAUGACGUUAGGCUCCUUUUUUUUCUGGGGUUGCAGUAGAGGCUCCUCGCCUCACCAGUGCCUCCCUGCAGGUUAUUUUGAUCGUUGCCAUCUCUGGUUUGGAGUUGUUUUUGUUGUGGAGCAUUUUUGGUGCUGUUGCCAAUCCUGUCGUCUAUAACGUUGUGUGGAGCGUCUGUCUAAGCAUGUGCACGUUUGGCUCGGAGCUGCUCUGCCCGGAGGUGUAGGGUCAGGAGCGGGUGGACUGAGUUCUAGGAGUCCACGAUUAAUCUGUGGACAUGUUAAACUGCGUUGGGAAAGGUUGUGCAGUCAUCUGGGAUGGAGUAGCUGUGGGCAGGGGAGCAGACAGUCCGUUCCCCAGUGUUUUUGGGACUCAAUUAGACCUUCUGGUGGGAUUCCUGAAUACUAAGCAGACCUGUGGAAUGGUCAAGCUGUUGAUGAGCUCCCGGGUGACUUGUUGAAUACCUUGAUUUCAGAUGCAGAGGGACAACUUGGCACGAAAGAGCAACGGAGGAGGCGAGCUGAGCGCCGUAAGCAGGUGUGAAGCAAAGAGGAAAGCUGGGUAUCGGCAGUGCAGCUCCUCGGGCCAGGCGGUAGCUGAACGUCUUUGUGGUCAACAGCGUGGCAGUCAAAAGCAAGGGUGGCCAGGUGGAUGAGCGGCCCAGGCAAGGGAGGGCGAGAUGGAACCGUCUGCGGGCAGGCUGUGUUUUUGGGCGGAGUCCCAGCAGGGCUUAAGAACCACCUCUCUGCGUGGCAUGCUACGAGUCCCACAGAACUUGGAGCUGCUGAAAGGAAGCAGGAGCCGGCCGGCCUGAAAUCCCUCCGGAGUAGAGAGGUGAGCUGUGGGAAACAUGGGAAAUCAAGCGUCUUCCCCAGAGAGAGACGUAUAUGAGCUUAUGAAAGCUCUCCUUCAAAAGCAUGGAAAGAAUGUUUCUGGGCACGAUCUCAAGGUGAUGCUUAAAUGGGUACAAGUGAAAAUACCCACUGUAACCGCAUCUACUAUUUUUACGUGGGAACUUUGGGAUGACGUGGGGGUGAAACUGUGGGAUGCGGGAACAAUGGGGAACGCCGAAGCACAGCGCGUGCUCCCGUGGUGGAGAAGUAUUUCUGAGACUUUGAAAGCCCAGGAAAAAAGUCACAAAGACAAAGCAGAAGGGGAAGGAGACUCUCCUGUGCUACCUCCACUGUCAUCGGAGGGCCAAAAACCCACCGCGCUUUUGGAAGCGUGUGCCGCGGGGUACCCCCCAGAAGAGGACCCCUUUGACUCGGGGACGAUGGGCCCUGAAAAAGAGCCAGAGCUCUAACCCCCUGACCCACAUGAUGUGUGGGCUAACAUAAGGCGCCAAGCCUUGAAGGAGGGAGAGCUGGAAAUUGCUAGAACAAUAGUGGCCCCCGUGAUUUAUCAGAGUCGGAGGGCGCGGUGGGAGGCUUUAUCUUUCCCGGUAGUUAAGGAGUUGCGCCGUACUGUUACUGAGCAUGGACUUUCUCCCCUGUAUUUUGCAAGCUUAUUAUCUUCUGUUUUUGACACUCAUGUUAUGACUCCGCAUGAUUUAAAAUCUUUAGCACAAUUGUUGCUGAGUCCACUUUAUGGGAAACGUGUUGGAGGGGGGGGCUUCAAGCACUUCUCAUUACUUACGUAGGCCACAGCAAUGCAGCUAUAGCUGCGUUGACUAUAGAACACCUUACAGGCACGGGCAACACUCUGAUCCAGUAGCUCAGGCUCGGGAUAUCCCACGGGAAGCUCUUGAAGCAACCCGGGAAGAAGCGAAAAAAGCCUUUUUUAGGUCCCUGACUUACAGAAGCCCCAAAAAGCCUUCACUACGAUAACCCAGGAACCCCGAGAACCUUAUAUGCAGUUUAUUGAUAGAUUGAAACAGGCCUUAGAGCGUCAGAUAAUGCGGAGGCACAGGAAAUUUUGUUGUUGAAACUAGCCGAUGAAAAUGCUAACGUGGGUUGCAAAAAGCUAUUGAAAUCUCUCCCGAAUCCGAACCCCACAUUGGUUGAAAUGGUAGAAGCUUGUAAUAGAAUUGGUACUGUAGAUCAUAAAUUUGAAGCUAUUGCCGCUGCUUUCGCAGCCAUGUGUGGCUCGGUGGGGCCAGGGAAUUGUUAUGGUUGCGAUAAACCUGGUAAUCUAAAAAGAAACUGUUUAGCUGCCAACACUGGUGCCAGGCCCCAGGCUCCUGGGGUUUGCCCUAGAUGCUGAAAAGGGUGCCAUUAUGCUAAUCAAUGUUGGUCUAAGUAUGAUUUCCAAGGUCAAACGAUGCAGGGAAACCGAUCACGGAGUGCGGGGCAGCGACGCGCGCAGACACAAGUACCGCAGCCGACAUUCCAACCCCCACGGAGGGAAGCAGCAGUGCCUCAAGUCUUCACCCAGCAACAGCAGGUAGCGCCGGAUUGGACCUGGCAGCUUCCCACACAGUAACGUUAACUGCUGUUAACUUGUUAACUCGGCAGGCCUCUGUAUUGCACCAGAGAAAAUUCAAAAAAUACCGCCAUGGAAGUACUUAGGUUGGUGCAUAAGGGCUCAAACUAUAGUUCCCCAGCCCUUACAAAUACAGACAGACAUAAGAAACUUACAUGAUGUACAGAGAUUGUUGGGAACAAUUAAUUGGGUCCGACCGCUCUUAGGAAUUACUAAUACAGACUUAAAGCCUUUAUUUGAACUGCUAAAAGGAAGCACUGAUUUAUGUGCACCUCGUAGCCUCGGACCAGAAGCUAUUGACUCCUUACAGAAAGUUGCUACAGCAAUUACUCAUAGGCAAUCGCAUCGCUGGGCACCUGAGUUGUCUUUUUAUCUUAUCAUUCUGAAUCCUGCUAGACAGCCGUGUACCCGGCAACCCCAUGCGCUGAUAUUCCAAUGGGACUCACAGAAAUCAGAUCCCUUAUUAAUCACUGAAUGGGUUUUUCUACCAAAUCAAUCUACAAAAACUAUCCUCACACAACAUGAGAUGUUGGCUUCUUUAAUAACUAGAGCCAGACAACGUUUGUUAACCUUAUUGGGAACAGAUUUUGCUUGUAUCUGCUUACCUGUAACCACUUUAUAUUUGCAGUGGCCUUA